rnacentral:rRNA from 1 species
AGUCGAACGGAAAGGCCCUUCGGGGUACUCGAGUGGCGAACGGGUGAGUAACACGUGGGUGAUCUGCCCUGCACUUUGGGAUAAGCCUGGGAAACUGGGUCUAAUACCGAAUAGGACUACGCGAUGCAUGUCGUGUGGUGGAAAGCUUUUGCGGUGUGGGAUGGGCCCGCGGCCUAUCAGCUUGUUGGUGAGGUUACGGCUCACCAAGGCGACGACGGGUAGCCGGCCUGAGAGGGUGACCGGCCACACUGGGACUGAGAUACGGCCCAGACUCCUACGGGAGGCAGCAGUGGGGAAUAUUGCACAAUGGGCGCAAGCUUGAUGCAGCGACGCCGCGUGAGGGAUGACGGCCUUCGGGUUGUAAACCUCUUUCGCCAGGGACGAAGCGCAAGUGACGGUACCUGGAGAAGAAGGACCGGCCAACUACGUGCCAGCAGCCGCGGUAAUACGUAGGGUCCGAGCGUUGUCCGGAAUUACUGGGCGUAAAGAGCUCGUAGGUGGUUUGUCGCGUUGUUCGUGAAAACUCACAGCUCAACUGUGGGCGUGCGGGCGAUACGGGCAGACUGGAGUACUGCAGGGGAGACUGGAAUUCCUGGUGUAGCGGUGGAAUGCGCAGAUAUCAGGAGGAACACCGGUGGCGAAGGCGGGUCUCUGGGCAGUAACUGACGCUGAGGAGCGAAAGCGUGGGGAGCGAACAGGAUUAGAUACCCUGGUAGUCCACGCCGUAAACGGUGGGUACUAGGUGUGGGUUUCCUUCCUUGGGAUCCGUGCCGUAGCUAACGCAUUAAGUACCCCGCCUGGGGAGUACGGCCGCAAGGCUAAAACUCAAAGAAAUUGACGGGGGCCCGCACAAGCGGCGGAGCAUGUGGAUUAAUUCGAUGCAACGCGAAGAACCUCACCUGGGUUUGACAUGCACAGGACGUGCCUAGAGAUAGGUAUUCCCUUGUGGCCUGUGUGCAGGUGGUGCAUGGCUGUCGUCAGCUCGUGUCGUGAGAUGUUGGGUUAAGUCCCGCAACGAGCGCAACCCUUAUCUUAUGUUGCCAGCCCGUAAUG